UCAACCCCCCUUUUUCUCUCUCUUUUCGUUUGGGGUUUCCUUUUUCCAUUAUUUCCACCAGAAGAAGCUGAAAAAGGUCUCUUCGUUAUGGCCGCCUGAACUCCUCUCUCUCUUUCUCUCUACACGUAUCUCUCUCCCUUCCUCUCGAUUACCUGAGGGUGAGUCUGAUUUCCUUGAACCAGCUGUCGAGCAAAUAGUUUCCGAAGAAAAGAAACAGUGGAGCAAAUCUGUUUUCUUGGAUCGCUUUUUGGCUUCCUCGCCAGCUCAGAUUGAAAAUUUCCAAAUUCUGCUUUUGGCUAGUGAUUUUACCUGAAUUGAGAACACCUAGUCUUCUGCAGCUUCUUCGAAUUUGGAGGAUUUGAAGGUUAAAGUUGGAGUUUUGAAGUCUUUCGCCUUCAGCUGACGAUUUUGAUUGACACAGAGCAAAACUCUAAAUAUGGAGAAGAAUGAAGAUUCUGGUAGCCCUAGUUGGGGUGCUUCAUUCUUCAUGCAAACAACAGAAGAUGUUGCAAGAGUUGUUGCUGCUGCUGCAGCUGCUGCCACUGCAGCUCGUUCACCACGACCAUCUGUGGUAUUCUCGUCGAAAGACGAUAACGGUAACAGUCCGCUGCAGAAACUUCAGCACCAUGUUUCUAGAGUGCUGAAAGGCUUCUCACAAACUCCUGAAGUGCAAAAUGGAACUUACAACCCUGAAGUACUAACUAGCCAAAAGCGUCAAUGGGCAAGCUUUCAGUUGCAGUCCCUGGAUCAUAGGCCUUUGAAAGAGCAAUCAAGGCUUUUUGAGAGCUUUGUGGUUGUUGGACUUCACCCUAAUUGUGAUAUUCAGGCACUUCAAAAGCAGUACUUCGGUCGAAAGUCUGAAGGUUCGGGUAAAUUUCGAUGUGGUCAGCAUCAGUCACGUGUAGAAUCUAUCGUUGAACCACAGGUCUUAUUUGUUUAUCCUCCUGAAAAACCGCUUCCACUUAAGUAUAAGGAUCUUCUUUCAUUCUGCUUUCCUGGUGGCUUGGAGGUUCAUACUAUUGAAAAAACACCUUCAAUGAGUGAGUUGAAUGAGAUUCUUCUUGGGCAGGAACACCUCAAACAAAGUGACUUGUCAUUCGUGUUCCGGUUACAGGUUGCUGAUGAUUCAACAUUGUACGGUUCCUGUGUGUUAGUUGAGGAAAUGGUUCAAAAACCCUCUGGAUUGAUUUCGAUGAUUUCAGGAGGACAACCUUUCCGCUCAGGUUUGAGCCGCCAUAUACUAACCACACGGCGGUGUUAUUGCAUUCUUUCAAGGCUUCCAUUUUUUGAACUGCAUUUCGGCAUAUUGAAAAGCAUUUUCACUGAAGAAAGAUUGGAACGGUUAAUGAAAGGUAUCAGUGAUUUAGAUUUGGAAUCAGCUGAGGGGCAUGGGGGAGAAGAAAAGUCUGAAGAAAGUUCUGAUGGUACUUUACGGGAACAUGGAGCAGACAACAUGCUGAAUGGAACAGUAGAUACUUGCCGGUUGAGCCCAGGCAUGUCUAUCCCACAAGAAGUUAUGGAUGAGGGGUGUCACAUUGAGCAUAACUCGCUCAAUGAUAACAUGCACUUGCUGAAGGAAGAAAUGAAUGGCAGCUCGAUUGAUCCAGUUGAUCCUGCAAUGGAGAAGCUCCCAGUUGAAAGGGAAUAUGGAGAUACACGUGAGAUUUCUGAAGCUUGUGACAGUUGCGUGAAUGAUUUUGUAACAGACAAGCAGUUGGUGGAAAGACAUUUGCCGAAUGCCGUUCUUCCAUUGCUGCGGCAUCAACAGUGUGAAAGCUCUGAAUCUUCAUCAAGUUUUCAGGGUUCUCCUGAAGACAGAAUUUUUAGAAGUGACCUCGAUGAAGCAGAGAUAGAAGAGGCAUCCUUUUCAGGUCAGGAAUAUUUCAGCGACCACAGUGAUAUUCUUGAAUGGGCUAAGGCAAACAAGAACGGAUCUUUGCAAAUUUUAUGUGAGUAUUAUGACUUACAUUGCCCUGCAAGGGGUUCAACUAUUACCUUCCACCCUUUGGAGCACUUGCAUCGUUUGGAAUACCAUAGACCUGAUGAAGCAGUACUUCGUAUAGCUGGGUCAACAAUUGAUUUGAAAUCAUGCAGCAGUAGCUUGGAAUUUGCAGAGGCACACAGUGUGCUCAUGGCGGAGGAGGAGGCCACUGCUUUAUCUGUAUGGACGGUUGCAUGCUUAUGUGGCUCCUUACGACUUGAAAAUGUGUUAACAUUGUUUGCUGGGGCUCUACUGGAGAAGCAAAUUGUGGUUGUUUCUUCUAAUCUGGGUAUAUUGUCUGCUUUGGUCCUGUCCGUAAUCCCUCUGAUUCGUCCUUAUCAGUGGCAGAGCUUGUUAAUGCCGGUUUUGCCUAAUGACAUGCUAGACUUCUUGGAUGCCCCAGUCCCGUAUGUAGUUGGUGUAAAGAACAAAACCACUGAAGUGCAGUCAAAGUUAACAAACUCCAUUCUCGUUGAUGCAAACAAGAACCAGGUGAAGUCGCCGACAAUACCUCAACUACCCCAACAAAGGCAGUUAUACUCAUCGUUAAGUCCUUACCAUGCAAAACUUGUGGGAGAGAGUUUCUUGGGAAGAAAACGGCCUGUGUAUGAAUGUACUGACGUGCAGGUUGAGGCUGCCAAGGGUUUCCUGGCAGUGUUGAGAUCAUACACGGAUUCUCUUUGCUCUAACCUUCGCUCUCACACGAUUACAAAUGUCCAGUCCAAUGAUGAUAAGGUGUCACUGCUUUUGAAGGAGAGUUUCAUCGAGUCGUUUCCUAGUCGUGACCGACCUUUUAUGAAGCUUUUUGUGGACACACAACUCUUCUCUGUACAUACGGAUCUUGUACUCUCUUUCUUCCAAAAGGAGUAAUGCUGCCAUGCAAGUGGAGGCAGUCGAACCCCCAACAUAUGACCUUCAAGCAGAGGAAUUGGAAGCUCAAGACAAGUUUAUGCAAGUGAAGAUCAAAAGCUCACUAGGGAGGUUGUUUGUUCUUUGUAGCCCAAUCCUGUUUCUCGAGAUCGUACCACAUGCUUGUUCAAAACCAAUCCCAGAGUCCAAGAAUGACCCCUGCAAGUUAGACCGCUAAUGGGUGACCGCAAACAUGAUUUCCCAUGUCUUUUGGAGUUUAGUUUGCAGGGUUGAAGAAUGGAUGCACUCAAAUGUGUUCCAGGAUUCGAGUUGCUCCGUAUCCGUUAGUAGGAAGACAACGGGAACUCAGAGAAACAUGGCGCGAGAGAGCCAAAACAGAAUGAAAAUGGGUGAUGUUAUGAAAGCAAAUGUACCACAGCGACCUGCACAAGAUUUCCAUACUUGUGCAACUUCAUAUUCUGACUAAUUGUCCAAGUUCUAUGGUUUUCUUUCUUUGUUCACGGUCUCAAAUUCGAGAACUGUGAAAAGUAAAAGGCGAGGCAGCAGGUAGCAUUUUAUGAAGCUGAAGCCGUAUUAUGAACCGUGCCAUUGGGGCUUCAAAUACUAUACCUACUCUCAGAGAGUGCUUUGGCU